UCAAGAAGUAGACUUAAUUGUUAUGGAGGGACUUGGCAUGAGACUCAACACAAGCUAAGAAUAGCCUUCUUGUGCUAAAAUGUGCAGGAGGGGUGCCAGUAGGUGUGAGUGAGGGGUUUGUCUCCCGAGCUGGAUCCCACCCCUCCUUCCAGACUAAAGCCAAGAUCAGAGCUGGACUUGUUCAGAAUCACACGGACUCUGCUGCCUGUAGGGGGCAUGCACACACAAAGUAUCAAGAUCAGAUUGCAAAAGAGACCGCUUUCUUCACACAUUUUUAUCUCACAUGUAUACAAGAUCAUGACCUCUUUUUCAGCUGUCCAUCACUCACCUGUGAUUCCUGGUCUUUCAGUGGCUUCCUUUCUGCUGUUACCGC